rnacentral:rRNA from 1 species
ACUGCCGGUGAUAAACCGGAGGAAGGCGGGGAUGACGUCAAGUCCUCAUGGCCCUUAUGUCCAGGGCUACACACGUGCUACAAUGGGCAGUACAAAGGGUAGCAAGCCUGCGAAGGUGAGCCAAUCUCAAAAAGCUGUUCGUAGUUCGGAUUGGAGUCUGCAACUCGACUCCAUGAAGCUGGAAUCGCUACGUAAUCGCGGAUCAGCAUGCCGCGGUGAAUACGUUCCCGGGCCUU